GUGGUCUCGGGCUGGGGGUGCCCGGGCAGCUGAGGCUCGGCCUUGGUCCUGGGGGAAUGUGGAGAGCUGGCACCAUGUCGGCCGAGCUGGGAGUCGGGUUCGCGCUGCGGAUGGUGAACGAGCGCGUGCAGCAGGCUGUGGCGCGACGGCCGCAGGAUCUCCCAGCCAUCCAGCCCCGGCUAGUGGCCGUUAGCAAAACCAAACCUGCAGACAUGGUGAUCGAGGCGUACAGUCAUGGCCAGCGCACCUUCGGGGAGAACUAUGUUCAGGAACUGCUAGAAAAAGCAUCAAAUCCUAAAAUUCUGUCUUCAUGUCCUGAGAUCAAAUGGCACUUCAUUGGCCACCUACAGAAACAAAAUGUCAAUAAAUUGAUAGCUGUCCCCAAUCUCUUCAUGCUGGAAACAGUGGAUUCUGUGAAAUUGGCAGACAAAGUGAACAGCUCCUGGCAGAAAAAAGGUUCUCCAGAAAGGUUAAAGGUUAUGGUACAAAUUAACAGCAGUGGAGAGGAGAAUAAACAUGGCCUUCCACCUUCAGAGACAAUAGCCAUGGUGGAACACAUAAAUGCCAAGUGCCCCAGCCUGGAAUUUGUGGGGCUGAUGACCAUAGGAAGCUUUGGGCAUGAUCUUAGUCAAGGACCAAAUCCAGACUUCCAGGUAUUAUUGUCCCUGCGGAAGGAGCUGUGUAAAAAGCUGCACCUCCCCACUGACAAGGUGGAGCUGAGCAUGGGCAUGUCCGUGGACUUCCAACACGCAAUCGAAGUGGGGUCUACAAAUGUCCGAAUAGGAAGCACCAUUUUCGGAGAACGAGAUUACUCAAAGAAACAUGCCACGGAGGAAUCCGCAGCAGACCUGAAGGCCUCGGUGGAGGUGGUACCAGAACACUGAACCCAGGAACGACCCGGCAGUAGCUCACAACCUGUGCUCCCUGUCCGGGAAGACGUCACUGCACACUGACCUAGAGUUUGAUAUUCUCCGUGUUACAGCACAGCCGUGCUCUCCCAUGAUCUGAGAACGCUAAGAUUAUUCAUCUGUUCUUAGACUCUGACGUGGGAAGCUCACAUCAAGCAGCAGUUUGGGAUUGGAGUUGAGGAAUCCAGAGAUUUCUGCGGAAUGCAUUCAAUGUCGAAGCCUGCCCAGGAGCGCCAAUCAUAAAUACCUUCUCCAGGUUAAAAUUUGGUCACCAAUGCCUCUAGUCACUGAAGUCAGGGGGCUUCCCGCAUGUCAUUCCACUUUAAUAGUAAAUUCCUCAUCGUUAGCAGCUUCACACAAGCUUCUACUGAUUCAUCAUCUUUGCUGCCCCAGAACUAGGUGAUUUCUGCCAAGUUUCUACCCUACUGAGUUGAUUUGAAGACACUUUACUCUGGAAUGGCAGUAUAGGUAACUUCAGGAAAUCGCCCAAGUUGAUUAUUGCUGGUAAGAGCUUGUGUUACUGGCCGCCCUGUGGUAUUGACCCUGAAAGCUGCAGGGGUGGCAUAAAUAGGACUUGAGUACUCCUGCCAUCCUCCUGAAGAGAUAAGACCUUGAGCUUUUUCCCCUGGGAUCUGCAGUGAGGAGAAGGUAAUUCAGUGUCUUCUCCACCAUAACCCUCUUCAUGGUGGUUAUUUAUCAACAACACACUCGCCAGUCUCAUUGCUCCCCAGAAAUGGAAGAUUCCUUCAAGGCCAGUUCAAGUUCAUGGCUUCAGUGAGGGCUGGCUCUGGGGCUCCUCUCCCCGAGGAGCGUGUUCCAGCCACAGUUACAGCUUCUCCACUGUGUUAAUAAGGCAGCAUUUUAUAGCUCUUCUUGAUUGUCAAGGAAGUAGGAAGAUCUUCAAAAACCAGAAAGCACAACUCUCAGUCAGAAUAGAUGGCUUCAGUGUGUGUGGCUGUUUAUUUUCUAGGUGACUUUUUCUCAUAUUUAUUCAAGCCCCAGUCUUUAUGAAAGAACAUUCAGAACAUGACACUGCUGUUGAAUGUAAUUUUGAAAAACCAGCCAUUAUGAUUCCUGACCUGUUCCUGAGCUGUAGUGUGGUAUUUCAGAGUCUAUUAAAUAAAAACGUGCAAUUGAAUUAUACCAUCUGUGCCAAUUACAAAGCAAUUAAAAGAGUUUAUUUUUUAUGAUCUGGUAGCAAGUGAGUGUAACAGGAGGGGCAUCCUGCCAGCCUGCCUGUGGAGGCGGGCUUCCCUUGGGUCCCAGAUGCAGCCAAAGCCAAGCUGUGGAGAGAAGAGGAGUUCUGAACUUCUAAGGGCUCGAAAAUGAAACACUGAUGUUCCGGCAGGAAUUAACAGAAAUAGAAGCCCUGGUGGUACAGUGGUUAUGAGUUUGGCUGCUCCAAGACUGGAACCAUCCCCAAAGCCAACUCUUCAGACAGGCAUUGGACUGGACUAUAAGAAAAUGAUACUGGGGGCAGGAGGGAGAUUGCUUUUCAUCAAAGUCGUGGCAGCAUCCCACAACGAGUUCCCUUAGUGAGGCAGCAGUGCUCUCCUGGGUCAGACACUAUGCAGUCUAGCAGUCCGAUGGUGCUGCCAGAGGCACUGGGCCCUUGUCUGCCCUGGUGCCAGCCUCAGAAGGCUUAGGACGCUCAGAGACCUCUCAGGAACCCACCAAGACUUUGUCAUCCUGGGAAGUCCUUCAUCGAUUUUGCCUGUUACAUCUCCCAUUGGCAUACAUUGUGGACAGGGGCGCUGAAGCCCAGAGGAGGCUCAGUGCCCUCCUGGUCUGAGGUCAGGGUGAGUUGGUAGUGGGGCCCACCAUAAACACAGGACCCAGGCUCCGGUCCAGAGCGAGGUCACCACACCACACCAGUAUCUUCUGUCAUGUCGGACUCCCAUCGCUGAUGAGCAGCAUAUUCUUAAAAUUGCAGGUUUAGUUUGAAAGAACCUUCUAUACCCUAAAAGAGAUUCAUGGUUUUAGACUGUUGCCAUAGUUGAGAAUCCACACAUCUGAAUGCAGAACAAACUUGGAAACCACAAGCAGUGGGGGUGCAAGGAAAGGAGAGAAUUAAACCCAGCAAUGGGUGGGAUUAGCCUUCCCUCCUCCCUCCCCUCCCAUCAUUCCAUUUGCCUAAUACACACUCCUCCAGAUUCAAACUAUCCCACAGGCUGCCAGGAAAAUGAUGUCCUUCUCCCCCUAGUAGCUAGACAUCGUUUGGAGGAAUGAGGGAGAACAGAACAUUCUAGGACAUCUAGGAGUUUGUCAUGAAUGAUGUCUCCCCAAAAAAAUGUGUAUCAAUUUGGCUGGGCCAUGAUUCCCGGUAUUGUGAUUUUCCUAUAUGUUGUAAAUCCUGCCUCUAUGAUGUUAACGAGGGUGGGCCGCAGUUGUGUUAGUGAGGCAGGACUCAGCCUACAGGACUGGAUUGUGUCCUCAGGCAGUCUCUUGAGAUAUAAAAGAAGAAGCAAGCAGAGAGACGGGGGGGACCUCAUACCACCAAGAAAGCAGUGCCAGGAGCAGAGUGCAUCUUUUGGAUCUGGGGUCCCUGUGCCUGAGAAGCUCCUAGUCUGGAGGAAGAUUGAGGACAAGGAUCUUCUCCAGAGCCGACUGAGAGAGAAAGCCUUCCCCUGGAGCCAACGCCCUAAAUUUGGACUUUUAGCCUGCUUUACUGUGAAGAAAUAAACUUCUCUGUUAAAUCCA